rnacentral:rRNA from 1 species
UACGUAAAAGACUAGUGUUAGUCAUCUUUAUUAGGUUUAAAGGGUACCUAGACGGUAAAUUAAACCCCUAAAGGGUACUUUUUUACUAGAGUUAUAUGGGAGAGGUAAAUAUUAGAACUAUAGGAGUAGUGAUGAAAUACUUUGAUACUUAUGGGACUGGAAAAGGCGAAAGCAAACCUUUAUCUUUUGUAUAGUUAGUGUUACUAACUAAAUUAAAAUAACUGACGUUGAGGGACGAAGGCUUGGGUAACGAAUAGG